AUUUCUCAAUUAGUUUAGGUGCGCGAAAUUAAUAACUUUGUCUUGUAAGUGUUUCAGAGAGUUUGGAGUUCCAUCUCAGCCAGUUAGUGCAGCAUUGCCAUCUGCUGUGAUGGAUCCGUCUCCGUUGGUUGAUUAAAAUGAGUGGUAGGUGAUUGUAUGAUUUAGUUACGUAAAAAAUCAAUGUGAAUAGUUAAUCUUAUAUAUCUCUGCAGGUCUACUGUCCCUCCUUAUCAAAGUCCACGACCAUCAUCUUAUGUUCACGAAUGGACGGAUUGGGAAGUCAGAACCACUAUCCCUCCUUAUCAAAAUAAAGGUCCAUCAUGUAGUGUUCAUCAAUGGCCGGCUUGCAAUGAAAGAAAUACUAGCCCUCCCUAUGUAGAUGAAGUCCAGGAUCAUCUAGUGUUCAUGAAUGGCCGGCUUGGGAAGAAAGAAAUACUAGCCCUCCCUAUGUAGAUGAAGGUCCAGGAUCAUCUAGUGUUCAUGAAUGACCGGCUUGGGAAGUAAGAAAUACUAACCCUCCUUAUGUAGAUGCAGGUCCAGGACCAUCUAGUGUUCAUCAAUGGUCGGCUUGGCCAGUAAGAAAUACUAUCCCUCCUUAUCAAAAUGAAGAUCCAUCAUGUACUCAUCGUGAAUGGACCAAUCGGGGAGUGACUACAACUGAUCUAUUGGACGUAAGUAGAAGUGAUGAGGAGUAUGUUAGUGAAACUGAUGAAGAGGAUCAAGGGCGAAUUGAUGCUGAUUCUAGUGAUGACGAGGAGUCCUUUGUUGCGUGUUCUUUGGAUCCUGAUCAUGACGGUGGCUUGAAUGCCCUCGCAUGCGCCAUUCGAGAUGAAGGUGUUGAAUGGAUUAAAAACUCAAAUGCCAACAAUGAAGAUGUACCGGAUCCGGUGGAAUUCGUGGAAUUUGAAGAUCAACGACAACGGUUUGUCCUGGGUAAUGAAUUAAUUAAUCAAAGCGUUGUUGAUGCAUAUAGUGAACAAAAUAUUGAUCAGGGUCCUCCAAGUGAU
rnacentral:lncRNA from 1 species